CAGCAGCCACGGUAAUACGUAGGGUGCAAGCGUUGUCCGGAAUUAUUGGGCGUAAAGCGCGCGUAGGUGGCCAUUUAAGUCCGCUGUGAAAGUCAAAGGCUCAACCUUUGAAAGCCGGUGGAUACUGGAUGGCUAGAGUACGGAAGAGGCGAGUGGAAUUCCUGGUGUAGCGGUGGAAUGCGCAGAUAUCAGGAGGAACACCAAUAGCGAAGGCAGCUCGCUGGGACGUUACUGACACUGAGGCGCGAAAGCGUGGGGAGCGAACAGGAUUAGAUACCCCCGUAGUCCCUGUCUCUAUACA
rnacentral:rRNA from 1 species